UACGUAGGGUGCGAGCGUUGUCCGGAAUUAUUGGGCGUAAAGAGCUUGUAGGCGGUUUGUCGCGUCUGCUGCGAAAAUCCGGGGCUCAACCCCGGACUUGCAGUGGGUACGGGCAGACUAGAGUGUGGUAGGGGAGACUGGAAUUCCUGGUGUAGCGGUGAAAUGCGCAGAUAUCAGGAGGAACACCAGUGGCGAAGGCGAUCACCUGGGGUUGUUCUGACGCUGAGGAGCGAAAGCUAGGGGAGCAAACGGG
rnacentral:rRNA from 1 species